CUUGCUAAGGCCGAUGGCGACCGGCGCACGGGUGAGUAACACGUAUCCAACCUGCCGAUAACUCGGGGAUAGCCUUUCGAAAGAAAGAUUAAUAUCCGAUGGUAUAUUAAAACCGCAUGGUUUUACUAUUAAAGAAUUCGGUUAUCGAUGGGGAUGCGUUCCAUUAGUUUGUUGGCGGGGUAACGGCCCACCAAGACUACGAUGGAUAGGGGUUCUGAGAGGAAGGUCCCCCACAUUGGAACUGAGACACGGUCCAA
rnacentral:rRNA from 1 species